AUGGAGCCAGACAUCCCUGUCACUCCACCCACAGUGAAAGUCCUUCCACCCUCCACUAAGGAGUGUGAAGAUAGAAACAAGAAGAAGAAGAAGACCCUGGUGUGUGUGGCCACCGACUUCUACCCCGACCACGUCACUGUGUUCUGGCGGUUGAAUGGAGGCGCCAACAUCACCGAUGGAGUUGGGACCGACAACACGGCCUUGAGGGGUAAAAACAGACUCUACAGUAUCACCAGCAGACUGAGAGUCCCAGCCAGGAAGUGGAACAAGGCCUCUAACAGAUUCACCUGCACCGUCCGCUUCUUCAAUGGGACCACUGACAUAUAUGUUGCAGAUCACAUUAACGGAGAAGAAGGUCAAGGUGGUGAUGGAGGGAUUACGACAGAGUACUAUGUGAGGAGCACUAAGACUGCCAAGCUGGCCUACAGCAUCUUCAUCGCUAAGAGUACCUUCUACGGCCUGGUCGUCAUGGCUCUGAUUUGGAAGUUUCAGCGCUCCUCAGAUAAACAGAUGUAAUUGAUCACUGACCGAGACCCGGCCACCCGUGGAAGCUGAGUUCGGUGGACUGGAGGGCGUCGUGUGGCAUAAGGCUCUGGUGAAAAGUAGUGCACUUUAAAGUAGUGCACUAUAAAGGGAAUAGGGUGCCAUCUGGGACGAAGAACAAACCCAUGUCUGUCAUGUGAUUACAAUGUACAGUGUGCUUUCUAUUAACUGUCACUCUACAAUGUGAGGAUGUAUUUUAUCGUCCCCAAUAAACAGAAUCUUUAUUAAUGUAUUCACUGAGUGGACAAAACAUUAAGAACACCUUCCUCACAUUGAGUUGUAUCCCCUUUUGCCCUCAGAACAGACUCAAUUCGUCAGGUCAUGGACUCUACAAGGUGUCGAAAGCGUUCCACGAGGAAUGCUGGCCCAUGUUGACUCCAAUGCUUCCCACAGUUGUGUCCAGUUGGCUGGAUGUCCUUUGGCUGGUGGACCAUUCUUGAUACACACAGGAAACUGUUGAGCGUGAAAAACCCAGCAGCAUUGCAGUUCUUGACACAAACCGGGGCACCUGGCACCUGCUACCAUACCCCCUUCAAAGGCACUUAAAUAUUUUGUCUUGCCCAUUCACCCUCUAAAUGGCACACAGACACAAUCCAUGUCUCUAUUGUCUCAGGGCAUAACAAUCCUCAAGGCAUAACAUUAUAACCUGUCUCCUCCCCUUCAUCUACACUGAUUGAAGUGGAUUUAACAAGUGGGAUCAUAGCGUUCACCUGGAUUCACCUGGUCAAUUUAUGUCAUGGAAAGAGCAGGUGUUCAUAAUGUUUUGUCCACUCAGUGUGUAUGAGUUCAUUCAGGAAGUGUGUCAAAACAAUAUUUACAUUUUCCAUUAACUUACAAAACCAACAUUUAUGUUCAUUUCUGUAUUAUUUUUGUUGCAGGAUUUACAUCAUAGUGUGUACAGUAUAAAUACAUGUUGCUUUCCAAUUUCAAUGUUUUCCCUUUUGAAUAACACAUUCGAUAAUGUGCAUGUAGCGUCGUCCGGGUUUGGUCCCGGUAGCGUCCGGGUUUGGCCCCGGUAGCGUCCGGGUUUGGCCCCGGUAGCGUCCGGGUUUGGCCCCGGUAGCGUCCGGGUUUGGCCCCGGUAGGCCGGCCUUGUAAAUAAGAAUUUGUUCUUAAGCCUCGUUAAAUAAAGGAUAAUAAAACAUAUAUAAUAUUAGUUUGCUCAAGUGUCAUUUCAUCAGUCUGAGUUGUCAGGUAACACUUUGCUUUAACACUUUGUGACAUCUGCUAUAGUAAAGAAGAGGCUUUCUAAAAAUACGUUGGGGUUUAUUUUCAUCAAUUGUUACUCUAUUACUCACUUGUUACUCAAUAAUAAAGUUGGAAAUGUGAA